GUCACCUAAUCUCAGCUCUUGUAGCACUCUUGUCUCCUUGGAAAUACACCCGUCAGCUCCCUGUGGAAACCUCCAGCCAGGCUUGCCCAGCUCAUCGCCUGUUCUCACCCCCUCCGUGACUCAGUUCACAUAUAAUACAAAGACAUCCAAAGACUGUCCUUCAAGUAGCCUGGAGAUUUAUUCCUGAAGACUACUUUAAGAAAUGACAAGCAAGCUGGCUGAGAGAGUUCAUGCUGCGUCGAAUAAAGGCGGUCAUAUCAAACUGGGGAGUACGAAGAAAUGGGAGAUUCAAGACUUUUGCAGAGUACUGUAAGGCACUCACGCCCCCAAAUCAUUUUGUUUUCCAACUUUACCUCCAAUUGUUAAAGAGAAAAUUGCCGUGGAGCCUGAAAUCAGCUCAACUACUGAGUUUUAAUUAUAUGAAAAUGCAAGCUGGCUCUGGGACGAGAAGAAAACAGAAAUUUUAUUCUCAAAAUACAAAAACACAUGACAUUACAUAUGUGUCUGGAUAUACUGUACUGUAUAUUUAGUGAUAUGUGAAGGCAAUCCCCAACACUGUGCACUGUUCACAAACCAGGAAAGUAAGCCAGGGUCAUUUAGGGGUGAUUAACAAAUCGAAGCUGCGUUAUACUCUGCACGGGGUGUAAGCAUGAGUCAUUCCUGAGGUCAGCGUGUGAGCUUAUGUGCGCUUUUUUUAUUAUAUUGUGUGAGAAAAUGGAGCCGGCAUCAAAGGUAAGCCAGCCCCCGCACAGCCCACUGCAUGGUGGUUUGCCAAAACGUCUCAGUAAGCAGCGAUGACCUCUACCCGUGCAUCAGACGGAGGCUGAAAUUUUCUAACAAAGGUUCAGUAAACAUGUCGGGAGAGUCAGAUAUGACAUCCUUUACGUCUAGUUUAGCAUUUGCAAUAAUUGGCCUCUUGAUAGUAAACACUGGUUUAAAUGUGAAAUGUGUGACCAAAUGCUCAUGCUAUGCUAGACUGCAUGCCACAACAAAUAAAUCAUGUUCUGCUGGGACAAUAAUAGGAGAGGGGGGUUGCUAGCUAAAAGGCGAACGGGGAACAAACCACUGCAUGUGAUGAACUGCAAAAACAAAUGGAGGAAAAGCGUGAAAAUGAAGAGGAAAGUGAGAAUAAUUGCAAGCUGAGACUGAAAGUGCUGUGUCUGUUCAUUAAGGCAGAUAGAUUCUGGUCCUCCUGCAUCUGCCGGCUUUAUGCUGUCAUCGCUUAAUGGGGAAUACCUCGUCUUCUUCUCCUUUUUGUGUUUCUCUACUCGGGCAUGUCGGCUGUUGGGUUUUUGUGCUUGGAUCAGCAGAAAUGAAACCAUGCAAGAAGGAAAAGAAAGGCAGACCAACAAAAAGGCCUUAUAUAUAUUAACUGAACAGAGUAUGGAAGCCCAUUAUGGCCAUUAAUAAAAAUGCAGAGAAAAAAGUUUUUCAUCA